CAAGCAUGUCUAAAAUUCAUUGCAUUUUUGGGAGUUAAGUGGCGGCCAUUGCUUAGAUACUGAAAGGCACCGAAGCGAUAGUAUUCUACUUCAUUUGUUUGUGAAAGCUGAUUAUUCUUAUUUUAAUUCCAUGACAUGUCUGUGGUUUUCAACUUUUCUCCUCUUUUGUCGGCUGAUUUCAGUUCUGUUGAUUUCGAUUUAGGAAACAUAAUGGAGGCACAGAACAGGAAACAAUAAGCAACUGGGGUUCUUGAAACGAAAAAGUUGUAUUUUAAAGGUAGCUUGAAGAUAGAAACAUUGUUGAGAGGAAAGAAUUAUUUGUAUGUUAGAAGAUAGUUUUUGUGGCCAGGCAAACUUCACUUGAAAUUGGUGAAGCUGUAGCUUCCUCCUCUUGGCUGGUCCUUUAUUUAUAUCGGAGAUUAAGUGUAGUUUCAAGUUUUUGUUAAAGAUUAUUUUGUGGCAAACAAUGCUCUGCAUUAAUUAGAAAGGGCAUGGUACUGACUCAGUUUUUGAGUAGUCGAAUAUGUGUUGAUGAGGUUUAAGUUCUUCUACUUGAUCUGUGUCUAAUUUUGUGAUGUAUUUUAUUUUUUUGUCGUCAGUAAGUCAAAUUGAAAGCACAAUAUAAUCGUUAGGAAAAUUAUCAAAGCAAGCCAGUUUAGCAAAUUAGC
rnacentral:lncRNA from 1 species